AGCGAACGCUGGCGGCAGGCUUAACACAUGCAAGUCGAGCGGAGAUGAGGUGCUUGCACCUUAUCUUAGCGGCGGACGGGUGAGUAAUGCUUAGGAAUCUGCCUAUUAGUGGGGGACAACAUUCCGAAAGGAAUGCUAAUACCGCAUACGUCCUACGGGAGAAAGCAGGGGAUCUUCGGACCUUGCGCUAAUAGAUGAGCCUAAGUCGGAUUAGCUAGGUGGUGGGGUACAGGCCUACCAAGGCGACGAUCUGUAGCGGGUCUGAGAGGAUGAUCCGCGACCAUGGGACGGGGACACGGCCAAGACUCCUACGAGAUGCAGGAGUGGGGAAUAUUGGACAAUGGGGGGGAACCCUGAUCCAGCCAUGCCGCGUGUGUGAAGAAGGCCUUAUGGUUGUAAAGCACUUUAAGCGAGGAGGAGGCUACUGAGACUAAUACUCUUGGAUAGUGGACGUUACUCGCAGAAUAAGCACCGGCUAACUCUGUGCCAGCAGCCGCAGUAAGAC
rnacentral:rRNA from 1 species